UGCCCAUUUGAGGGGGAUACCAGUUGGAAACGACUGUUAAUACCGCACAAUAUCUGUGGAUUAAAGGUGGCUUUCGGGCUGUCGCAGAUGGACGAGCCUGCGUUGGAUUAGCUAGUUGGUGGGGUAAGGGCCCACCAAGGCUACGAUCCAUAGCUGAUUUGAGAGGAUGAUCAGCCACAUUGGGACUGAGACACGGCCCAAACUCCUACGGGAGGCAGCAGUGGGGAAUAUUGGACAAUGGGGGCAACCCUGAUCCAGCAAUGCCAUGUGUGUGAAGAAGGCCCUAGGGUUGUAAAGCACUUUAGUUGGGGAGGAAAGCCUCAAGGUUAAUAGCCUUGGGGAGGACGUUACCCAAAGAAUAAGCACCGGCUAACUCCGUGCCAGCAGCCGCGGUAAUACGGGGGGUGCAAGCGUUAAUCGGAAUUACUGGGCGUAAAGGGUCUGUAGGUGGUUUGUUAAGUCAGAUGUGAAAGCCCAGGGCUCAACCUUGGAACUGCAUUUGAUACUGGCAAACUAGAGUACGGUAGAGGAAUGGGGAAUUUCUGGUGUAGCGGUGAAAUGCGUAGAGAUCAGAAGGAACACCAAUGGCGAAGGCAACAUUCUGGACCGAUACUGACACUGAGGGACGAAAGCGUGGGGAUCAAACAGGAUUAGAUACCCUGGUAGUCCACGCUGUAAACGAUGAGUACUAGCUGUUGGAGUCGGUGUAAAGGCUCUAGUGGCGCAGCUAACGCGAUAAGUACUCCGCCUGGGGACUACGGCCGCAAGGCUAAAACUCAAAGGAAUUGACGGGGACCCGCACAAGCGGUGGAGCAUGUGGUUUAAUUCGAUGCAACGCGAAGAACCUUACCUGGCCUUGGCAUCCUGCGAACUUUCUAGAGAUAGAUUGGUGCCUUCGGGAACGCAGUGACAGGUGCUGCACGGCUGUCGUCAGCUCGUGUUGUGAAAUGUUGGGUUAAGUCCCGCAACGAGCGCAACCCCUAUUGAUAGUUACCAUCAUUAAGUUGGGUACUCUAUUGAGACUGCCGCUGACAAGGCGGAGGAAGGUGGGGACGACGUCAAGUCAUCAUGGCCCUUACGACCAGGGCUACACACGUGCUACAAUGGGUAUUACAGAGGGCCGCGAAGGUGCGAGCUGGAGCGAAACUCAAAA
rnacentral:rRNA from 1 species